GUAAUGGCUUACCAAGGCGACGACGGGUAGCCGGCCUGAGAGGGUGUCCGGCCACACUGGGACUGAGAUACGGCCCAGACUCCUACGGGAGGCAGCAGUGGGGAAUAUUGCACAAUGGGCGGAAGCCUGAUGCAGCGACGCCGCGUGAGGGAUGAAGGCCUUCGGGUUGUAAACCUCUUUCAGCAGGGACGAAGCGUGAGUGACGGUACCUGCAGAAGAAGCACCGGCUAACUACGUGCCAGCAGCCGCGGUAACACGUAGGGUGCGAGCGUUGUCCGGAAUUAUUGGGCGUAAAGAGUUCGUAGGCGGUUUGUCGCGUCGUUUGUGAAAACCCGGGGCUCAACUUCGGGCUUGCAGGCGAUACGGGCAGACUUGAGUGUUUCAGGGGAGACUGGAAUUCCUGGUGUAGCGGUGAAAUGCGCAGAUAUCAGGAGGAACACCGGUGGCGAAGGCGGGUCUCUGGGCAGUCACUGACGCUGAGGAGCGAGAGCAUGGGUAGCGAACAGGAUUAGAUACCCUGGUAGUCCAUGCUGUAAACGGUGGGCGCUAGG
rnacentral:rRNA from 1 species